rnacentral:rRNA from 1 species
CCUCGGAGAGUUUGAUCCUGGCUCAGGACGAACGCUGGCGGCGUGCCUAAUACAUGCAAGUCGAGC